CAAAGACUGAAAACUAGGACGUAUGAUGGUUCCUAGAUACUAUUACUGGUCUAGUUGUUGACAGCUUGGAAGAAAUAUGAAUCUCAAUGAUUAUCUAACUGCCAUGGGUAGUAGCAGGGAUGGACAAUCACACCUUGAACAAAAGAAAAGGCAUUACCCAAAUUAUUUUGGCAAAAGAGAAUACAUAUCGCAGUGGAAAAUUCUCAUUAAGAACAUGGAUUAAAGAUGGUGUGGGAGAAAACCCAGGCAGUGCAUUCUCCCUUACGGAACUUUGGGGUGUCAUUAA